rnacentral:rRNA from 1 species
GUUUGGUCAGUCCUCCGGGAAAUCUGAUAGCUCAACUAUUAGGCUAUCGGGGGAUACUACCUGACUUGGAACCGGGAGAGGUAAGAGGUACUACAGGGGUAGGAGUGAAAUUUUGUAAUCCCUGUGGGACCACCUGUGGCGAAGGCGUCUUACCAGAACGGGUUCGGCGGUGAGGGACGAAAGCUGGGGGCACGAACCGGGUUAGAUACCCGGGUAGUCCCAGCCGUAAACGAUGCUCGCUAGGUGUCAGGCAUGGCGCGACCGUGUCUGGUGCCGCAGGGAAGCCGUGAAGCGAGCCACCUGGGAAGUACGGCCGCAAGGCUGAAACUUAAAGGAAUUGGCGGGGGAGC